rnacentral:rRNA from 1 species
AGUGGCGGACGGGUGAGUAACGCGUGAGAAUCUGCCUUGGGGUCGGGGACAACCACUGGAAACGGUGGCUAAUACCGGAUAAGCCGAUUGGUGAAAGAUUUAUUGCCCGAAGAGGAGCUCGCGUCUGAUUAGCUAGUUGGUGAGGUAAGAGCUCACCAAGGCAGCGAUCAGUAGCUGGUCUGAGAGGACGAUCAGCCACACUGGGACUGAGACACGGCCCAGACUCCUACGGGAGGCAGCAGUGGGGAAUUUUCCGCAAUGGGCGAAAGCCUGACGGAGCAAGACCGCGUGAGGGAGGAAGGCUCUUGGGUUGUAAACCUCUUUUCUCAGGGAAGAAGCUCUGACGGUACCUGAGGAAUCAGCCUCGGCUAACUCCGUGCCAGCAGCCGCGUUAAUACGGAGGAGGCAAGCGUUAUCCGGAAUUAUUGGGCGUAAAGCGUCCGCAGGUGGCGAUUCAAGUCUGCUGUCAAAGCACGGGGCUUAACUCCGUAAAGGCAGUGGAAACUGAAUAGCUAGAGUGCCGUAGGGGUAGAGGGAAUUCCCGGUGUAGCGGUGAAAUGCGUAGAGAUCGGGAAGAACAUCAGUGGCGAAAGCGCUCUACUGGACGGCAACUGACACUCAGGGACGAAAGCUAGGGGAGCGAAUGGGAUUAGAUACCCC